ACUAGAAGAUGACUGUGAUACUCUGGUGAACGGGAGAUUUUUUGUGGUCUUUUAUGGUUCACCUCCACCAGGGUAGGAAUUAGGUGCUGGAGUAUAAGGAGCAAAGUAUUUCUGGCUGAUCUUACAGCUUCAGUAGCUGGAGGCAAGUGGUGGCUUUCAGAAGUUGCUGACAUCAGCCUGUCUCUGUGACAUCAAGUCAUGGUGACGCGAUGUCUCUGUGACCCGGGAUGUGGAGUCAGAGGUACCUCCUGGCCAGCUCCUCCCUGUACCAGAGCUCAGCAGGGAGGCUGGGCUGGCAGCUGGUGACCAUGGGACUCCUCUGGAGGUCUCUUCCCACUCUCAUCUCCGUCACCCUGGGGUUUCCCUGCUCCCGUGGCCCCAGCACAGUGGGGAGAUGGGAUUUCACGGAUGGCUGGGAAGUGUGCAGAUGGAGAUGCCCUGGGGAUUAAGAAGGUUGCCAACACGAGGAGAUCAAACCAUUGUGUGGGGUACAGCAGUGAUAAAUCCUGCCCGUGGGCUGCGGAAGAGGGUGGAAACUAAUAUAAUCACAGAACAGACACCCUCCUCCCCCAGCACAUGCACCCUGAUGUCUGACUUUAUCUGCUGCAUCACGUUGUGGUUACCAGUCUGAUGGAGAAAGACUACCAAGGGAGGCAGUGAUGCGUACCUCUGGAGAACACGGUGAGGCUCAGUAUCACCAGCAAAACGAGCACCUUAAUUCCCAGUGGUACGAAAAUGAGGAUCAUGAAGAAGGAGCUGUUGGACGCUCUGAACUUAUAGAAGUAGACUGCCCCCUCUGCUCUCCCGUGGCUGUUGACUGCCGUGCACGUGUACUUGCCGUCGUGCGUCAGGUACUGGAGCUCCUUGGUGACGCGGUGGCUCGUGCUCGUGACCGAGCUCCUGAAGUUGUCACAUACCUGAAAUGCGAUCAAGACCUGGACUGUUUGGUCAUUUCCCCUUGCUCACUGUCAGACUUCAGCUGAAUUUCUCCUCCUGGUGUUACCUGCAGCUUUAUAUUGGCAGAGGUGCUCUGAGUGCUCCUCAGCUUGCUCACCUGCUAGUGCCAGCCAGAGGUUCUCCAGGCUCUGUGGGCAUCUAGCUGUCAUGUUUGCUCCUAAAUACAGCCAAACACAAGCGUGUGAAAGUCAUCACUUUCAAGAUUUUGUUGAAAGGACAAAGAUGACCACUGUAUCAUCUAACCUGACCUGGUAUGUAACUUCUAAUAUACCACGCGUUGUUUUCAUCCAUUCUCUCCUCAGCUGAAUUCCAAAUACCAGCAUUUGAGCUAGACAUCAGGUUACCAUGUGUGGAGUAAGGGAAGGAGAGAGGGAAGGCACGGUGCCCCCAGCCCCUGCCCAGUCAUGUUGGGAAAACUUCAUAGGAGAGGUGAGCUGCGGACGUGGAGCCAAGCUGCUGAGGUAACAAAUGAGGCAAGGCUGGGCGAUCGCUGUGAUGAACUGCAUCCGGAAACAAUGUUCUUUGACAGCCUUGACCUGAUUGUCCUGGGAUUUUCUACAUUGCAGAUGUGAGUCAUGGGCAAAGGAACAUGUAUUUUCAGGGCAUCGCAGACCCUUCUGCCUUUAAGGGGACCACGACAAGCAGGUCGCAGUGUGUGACUGUAGGACUACUGAAAGAGGUGGCCUUCACUUCUCAGCAGAUCCUUCCAUGGCAAGAUCAGCUCCUUUCUGGCUGGGACAGGAGUUAGGUGAAACGAAGGUAGCAUCCUUGCUUGCCCUGAUGGAGUGACCUGCAUCAGAAGAAGCAGCAGCAAUCACUUUUGCUGCCUCUGGCAAAGGUUUCCCAGAAAGCAAGCUGAUGAUGGGGUUGUUUUGCUGUUUUAUUUGGGGUUGUUCUUCUAAAGUUCAGUUUGCUGAGAGGUUCUGAUAUCUUAAUUGAUGCAGGCAACAGGGCUAAAAAGGACAUAGUGUUAGAACAUUACUGCCUGCAUGUUUAUUCUUUAACCUCACCUCAGGAAACAUCUGGUAGCAAAUGAACAUGUAGUGGCAAUAAAUGGCAAACUGCUUUCAGCACUUCUCCAGCGUGUGUCCUGUCUUCAGGUCGUGCCACUUACUCGUGUCUGUGCUGGGAGGCGUCCACAGCUUGUGGUUUCCCUUCCCGUGGUGGUGGGGCUGGGAUCCGCCAGCUUGGAAGGUCCCAGCGGUGAGGUGCCAGGAAGAGGUGUGUGAGCAGUAGCACAUAAAAGCAGUUAUUUUUGCUUCCUCUGAUCUCUGAUAACAGGGAAGUGUUCCCAAACAGUCAGGGCUAACACUUUUAGUACAAUGUAACCUUUACUUAAUUGCUCUAUUGCCAUAACCUUGCAUGGCCCUUUAGAUACCAAGUGUGAUAAGGCUGCUGCCCAGGGGAGCUCACGCUCAUUUAGGCUUGAUGGAUUGUGACAUUGACUCCUGGGAUUACGAUUGGAGGCUGAUAACGUGGAGGAGAAGUGUUUUGGGCAGUGCAUUGUUCUUAUCAGUUCUCACCACACGUGGGGGUGAAGAAAACAAUAGAUCAAUUUGCAUCACUUCAUACGCCCUGCUCACAGCAUCUGUGUGAUCACAGUGGCUGUGUCCCUGGUGGGACCUUGCUGACAGCUUUGUGUUCCUGCCAAGGAAAGGCUGGAAACCGAGGCUGUACCACAGGAGGGAAGCUGCUCAACGCAGAGGAGGUGAAAAGUGGGAUGCUGAGGAAAUGCAGUUGGAAAGUGAGUUGAAAAGGAGAUGCAACUUGGGGCUGGGCGAAGAGGGUGCUGUGGUGUCAGAGAACAGCCCCCUUCGUGUUGUUUGAGUCUAGGGCAUGGUCCCUCUUGGAAAGAGAUUGCCUUAAAGCACAAUAGGAUGAAGCCACGGCAUGAGAGAUGAAAUUUGGUCAUGCUCCAAAGUAAAUGAAAUACUGGUGUUUUAAAGUUGGAAAUUGGAUAAAGCAGGUGGGGAGGAGAAUAUGCUGGUUGGGAUUGGACGUGAUGAAUAGAACGAGGAGUUACGGCACUUCUUGGCAUGCGGGGCAGGCAGGUUUCACACAGAUCCCUGUUCCGCAUGUGACAUCCCCACAGACCUUCCCUAAGUCAAGCAGAGAGGCUCUGCAGUCCCCAAAGGCUGGAGGUAAACUCUUCCUGGGGUUUCCGCAGUGCAUUGCGAUGGGUACGAGCUCAUCUGUGCUUGUUUGAAGAUUACUGUACACCUUCGUAGCACGUCUUUAAGUACCUAAGGAGUGAAAAAUGCAUAGCCCUGGAUAUCCUAUAUUGUAGUUUUCUUCAGUGAGAUGGGAAGGGGGGAUUCUCUUGCUCUUAGGAAGCUAGGUGACUAACGCUGUCCACAGCCAGGCUCUGAAGGGGUAGGCUGGAGGUGACUGUCAUAGAGGGGGGCUUUGAUCUAGCCCACGUUGGUGAACAGAGCCACCAGAAGGCAUUACUUACCCUGUAACUGGUAAUCACACUGUGGGAAGAUCAGGCUGUGAUUUAGUAAGAGGGGAAAGAACAGUCACAUGCCUUCUCUGAGGUGCAAUCACUCACCUGCCUCUUGGGCUUGAUUAUUUUGAAUAAUCAGGCCUCUGGCCCUCUUUCUGUUUGAGUGUGUAAGUCAUUCGCAGUUAUCCUUUGAAUGCUUUUGGAUGGCUUCCCAGAAGAAUUUACAUCCUGGAUGGUUUGUGAUUUGUGUGAAAGCAGCUGUCUUCCCCAGCAUCGGUGUGUAGCUGCAUCUCCCGUGAUCAGCAGAAAUUAGUCUCAGAGCGUUUGAGGAGCCCAUGAACGAUGCCACGUGCCUGAAGUCGGAGGCGUUUGGGUGCAUUUCAUUCGGUGCUCGCUCGCAGCUGCAGGUAAAAGCACAGGCUUCCCUGAGUCUUACAAAUAGCCGUCAUUCUGUGAAAGGACAAUGGAACAAAUGAGCUCGCAGGACCUGCCAGUGUGAUUAUCGGUUGCACAGCAAAUGGGCCCGCUCUUACCUCCGCGGCUCAAUUACGUAAAUGCACGACAUAGCAGUUAGCGGCCCCCUCCGGGAGGAUUGUUGUAACAACAAUGUGCCUCUGCGCAUUUCUUGUCACAUUCCUCUGCCGAUAGUGUAGGCUUCAAGUCCCCUGGCUCGCCAUGUGCUUCCAGCUGGAAGGACGGCACUGGUUUUGCGUGGUUAGCCUGUGUGAGUCUUGGGAAUCCCUGCUUGUUCGCAGAAUUGCCACCCCGGGAGGCAGGAAAGCAUUAGAGCUGCUGCUUCCAGCUACACUGGACAGAAGCUGCUGGGUGGUUUGACUUGCUGUGAAGGAUCUUUCCACGAGAUCCCAGCAGAGUUUAGGCUGGAGCUGUGAAGAUUGCAGCCCCCUUGUGUAAUUCCCUCCUUAGCACCUGCUGCUCCUGAGCCUUGCUUGCACUUGACAGAGGUUUGCAGGUCAGAGACCGCUUCAGCUUCCAGGAGGAAUCAGUCAGGGGAAAAGGCUUUUUCAUCUGGAAUUUUCAUGCAGACAAAAUAUAAUCAAAACAAUUUAUAUAUUUAAAAAGAAGCUUACCAUAUUCAGUGGAGAAAGUCUGGAUGAGUCGAGAUGAAAUAUGAGUCCAACUCAUAUUUCUCAAGCACAUCAGUGUAACUUAUUUCCAUGCCUGCUGCCCCCCUCCACUUCAGCACAUGUGCAGAUACCUCAGGGAUAAAAACAGUUCUGCUUUUCUGCUCUGUUCUUGCUAUUCUGCUCUUAAUCCCUGGCACGACUUUGUUCACAACAUCUAUCAUUUGGUAUGUUAGUGGGCAUAUGACCUUUUAAAACAACCAAGUUCUUCUCUGUGUUUUAUCAGCAUCAGCUUUCAGCUUUGGCUAAAUUAAAAAAAAAAAAAAAAAAAAAAGUAACAUGGCAAAUCCAUCCCAAAGCUGUAUCACUCAUGUUUGGCUAAAUGUAGUUUCAGAUCCCCUUACAUACCUCUGCUUGCUGUGUGGAUCCUCUUUCCUGAAUACAUUUUUGUCCUUUCCGGUCAAAGUAAUGUAAUCAAACUGUGUCUUCCAUAUCACGUGAAUGAAGAGUGAUCAAGUGAUAUGUAAUCUGUCUGCGUAUUGCCUUCACCAAAUGCCUCUGUAAUA